rnacentral:rRNA from 1 species
GAUGAACGCUAGCGGCAGGCUUAACACAUGCAAGUCGAGGGGCAGCACGGGUAGCAAUAUCUGGUGGCGACCGGCGCAAGGGUGCGUAACGCGUGAGCAACAUGCCCGUAUCAGGGGAAUAAUCCAGGGAAACUUGGUCUAAUACCCCAUAGUAAAUAUUAAAGGCAUCUUUAAUAUUUUAAAGCUUUGGUGGAUACGGAUUGGCUCGCGUGACAUUAGCUGGAUGGUAAGGUAACGGCUUACCAUGGCUACGAUGUCUAGGGGUUCUGAGAGGAAGAUCCCCCACACUGGAACUGAGACACGGUCCAGACUCCUACGGGAGGCAGCAGUGAGGAAUAUUGGACAAUGGAUGGAAAUCUGAUCCAGCCAUGCCGCGUGCAGGAAGACGGCCCUAUGGGUUGUAAACUGCUUUUAUAUGGGAGCAAUAAGGCCUACGUGUAGGUUGAUGAGAGUACCAUAUGAAUAAGCACCGGCUAACUCCGUGCCAGCAGCCGCGGUAAUAC